UGCAGUUCUGCUUUGGCGUUGGAGAGGUCAUGAUUGCUUUCUGUACAGACCAGUAAUGUUCUCACCUGAAUUACAGGAUUUAUGGAAGUGUGGAAAGCAUGCAGCUAAAGUCAAAGAAUGGAGGUAAUCCAGUCAGAGAGCCAUCCUCACUGAGCCCCUGGGAAGGAAAGAGCUCCACAAGCAGGAGAACUUCGGAUGCCUGGUUUCCUGAGGAUGUCUUCUGGCUGAGCAAAACCUGGUGCUGCUGAUUUCCACUCAUAAAAUGGAGCUACAGAAUUCUUCAUUCUUGGAGACUGAAGAAAUAGAGCAGUGAGGAAGAUACCAACACAAUCCUUAAAAUAACAGGUAACACUGAGCCGUUGAAACUUUAUUUCCUACCAGUUUGUCAGACUAUCUUGGGAGUCAAGCUUUGUAUGGGACAUCAUUGGUUCUUUGUUAGUAGGUCAUGGGGCCAGAAUUAAUAACUGGUAGUUUAUAUUUUGGGGACUAAUAACCAGAUGAAUUCCUAACAGAGCCUGUUUGAAGAGGGUGAUUCGAGCAAGAACUGGUCCUUGCAGAAGUAGUCAGUGAGGAAAAGAAGCGAGGGCCAGUGUGGCCUGCUCAGCCGCCUGGAGAUGCGGGUUACGUCGGUUCAGCCCUCUGGUUGAAAAGGAGCAGACCUGCACCUGAGAAGUAUUAUUCUUCAGUACUGACCAAAGUCUGGAUAAUCCAAACAGAGCCGAGAUGUGGGGCAGGGGCAGCAAGUGAGACCCCCAGAAACCCAUCCCCUGGGCCCACUGGUAGCGGGCAAUCCUUCAGCGUGAUCACAGGGCAGCUUAUCAGCCUGGGACUUAUUUGUGCUCAUAGCAUCACUUUCCAGUGUAGCUCUGUGGGGAUCACCACCACUGGGAUGAGAGUGCACUGUUCGAGUGUGCCAUCGGAGGACAUAACUUCAGUGUAUCCGUCUUCACAACUGCACCUUCUAGUCUGUAGGGAACAAGUGUUUUACACUGUGUAGCAGAAAAACACAGUUUCCUGUGAGCUAUAAAGCAUAACAACAUGGGUAACUGGAAGAGAAGACUGUUUUGAUGUGCACUAGCCUGGAGAGUACCUCUUCAUGUAUUUUUAUGCAGGAAGUGGACUGAUGUGUAUUUUGGUGCUUACCAUUGCAUGGUCUUGUUUCCAAAGCCUGUUCUGGACAGAGAUGUUGAUUCUCUAAUUCCUGAAUGAUCACUGCCCGAGAUCGGACUUGUAUCCCUCCAAAGCCGAGAUCCUCACCAUUAACACAGAAUUCCUCAUCUACUACUUUGCCAACAUCUUCAGUGGAUCCAUCAAACACCACACAGGAAAUGUUCCUCACUCGUGUUCCCUCUCCACAUUGAGCAUCCUGGGGAAGGAGGACAUACAUGGAUGGUGGACAGAAGAAAGUGCCAAAAAACUAGAUCUGAGCUACAUGUCACACUGUCUCCUAUUAUUUUUUGCUUAACUACUUAUUCAUUCCAGUGGGGGGGGGGGGGGGGGGGGGGGGAAGACAUUGUUCAUUACUUCUGAAACAAACAAACAUAAAAAAACAACCCCAAAAUUCUGCUGGCUGCUACUACUGUCUCUUAAAGUAUGGAGCCAAUUAUGCCUUUGCAUUCCAACCACAGCAGUAUCUCAAGUGGAGAUCUCUUCUAGGAUGCCAAUCUAUUUCCACAAAUAUUCUUUUACAAUAGAAGGAUUUCAAUUAUUAGCAAAGAUGCUGCUCGGGUACCAAAGUUUACAUUUAUACUUUGAAUAUCUGUAGGACAUUGUUGUAUCUGUUGACAAAUAUAAGCUAUAAGAAUAAAUCUUUAGUUUUUGUA